GAUGAACGCUAGCGGCAGGCCUAACACAUGCAAGUCGAGGGGGAGGUUACUUUCGGGUAACUGAGACCGGCGUACGGGUGCGUAACGCGUAUACAAUCUGCCUUUCACUGGGGGAUAGCCCGAAGAAAUUUGGCUUAAUACCCCAUAGUAUAGUAAUACGGCAUCGUGAUGCUAUUAAAGCUUAGGUGGUGAAAGAUGAGUAUGCGUUCUAUUAGCUAGUUGGAGAGGUAACGGCUCCCCAAGGCGAUGAUAGAUAGGGGUUCUGAGAGGGAUGUCCCCCACACUGGUACUGAGAUACGGACCAGACUCCUACGGGAGGCAGCAGUGAGGAAUAUUGGACAAUGGUCGGAAGACUGAUCCAGCCAUGCCGCGUGCAGGAUGAAGGUCUUAUGGAUUGUAAACUGCUUUUGUAAGGGAAGAAUAAGGGCUACGCGUAGUUUGAUGACGGUACCUUACGAAUAAGCAUCGGCUAACUCCGUG
rnacentral:rRNA from 1 species